UACGAUAAUUAAGUAAGAAAAGGUAAUGGAUGUGAUUGGUAACUAUAAGUUGUACGAGUUUUUUAGCUAUUAGUUUUAUCGGAAUAAUGCAAAGCUGUUAAAAUAAGCUGUAUAAUAAAUCUAAAUCUGUAUAAAAAAACUGAGAGUAAAACUUUUUGUAACGCUUUUGAUAAAGUUAUUGUGAUUGGUAACUGUUAAAGUUGUACCGCUAUUAUAAUAGCUACCAUUCAAUCCAAUACAAAAACAAAAAACAACACAUUUUCUUUAACGAAAAAUGGCUAGAUAUACGGUACUUAUACUUUUCAUAUAAAAAAACUUAAGUAAAUUCUACGAAUAUUUGCUUCAAUAUGAUGUUAUUAUAUUAAAAUUAUGAUACGCAUGUAAAUUGU
rnacentral:sRNA from 1 species